GUCUACGCUCAUGCCGCCCUGAACGUGCCUGAUCCCGCCGGAUCUCAGAAGCUAAGCAGGGUCAGGCCUGGUUAGUACUUGGAGGGGAGACCACCUAGGAAGACCAAAAAUAAAAAAAUAAGGGAUUGUAAACU
rnacentral:rRNA from 1 species